rnacentral:misc_RNA from 1 species
CACACACUGCACCUAACACAU